UACGAAGGGGGCUAGCGUUGUUCGGAAUCACUGGGCGUAAAGGGCGCGUAGGCGGCCGAUCAAGUCGGGGGUGAAAGCCUGUGGCUCAACCACAGAAUUGCCUUCGAUACUGUUUGGCUUGAGACCGGAAGAGGUAAGUGGAACUGCGAGUGUAGAGGUGAAAUUCGUAGAUAUUCGCAAGAACACCAGUGGCGAAGGCGGCUUACUGGUCCGGUUCGUGACGCUGAGGCGCGAAAGCGUGGGGAGCAAACAGG
rnacentral:rRNA from 1 species